rnacentral:lncRNA from 12 species
AUGCUAAUGGAAAAAAGAAGUGACAUGGAUAAUUCAAGAUGGCAGACAAAUCAAUAUUAUUUAUAUUUAGCUUGUGAAUAUGCUGCAUAUUUCUCUGCUGGCAGAUUGGUCUUCACAAUUAUAUUUUGUGGAAUCCAAGAAUCUGCUGUCCGCGGGCCAAGGGCUGCCACCUUGCUCCCCCCUAGGAGGGUUGUUGGAACACACAAGGACCCCGCGUUACUUGGCGGCAGGUGCAGAGUGAAGUGCCAGCCCAUCCCGCCCAGUGCCACCCUCUCCCCGCCGUGUGGUGGGCACGCCGCCUCUCCUAGGCCGCCCACUGCUGAGAAGCCCCUGCACGAGGGGAUGGUCUACCCAGACGGUGGGUGUCGUGCCGUUGCGGUAGACGAGCAUGGAAGGAUGUAUCCGCAGUCUGUUGUGACCAUGAUGGUGGAAUAUUCGUGUAGCACAGAGCCUGCUGGUGCUGUUCCCCUGUUUCCUCUGCUGGCCCUCAGGACCGGAGCCGCCUGGCCGGAGGACACGUGCUGGGCCAGAGCAGAUGACCGUCUGUCCAGGGCGGAGCCUGGAUGCGUGCCUGGCGCGGGCAGCCGUCCCGUUGCUGCCCCUCCCUCCUCUUGUCACUUGACAAAUCAAGACACAAAAGGAAAACUGACGCUGGUAGGAGACGCAGUCGUAUCACAGAGUUCUCUAAAGCGGUCAGGCCACCCUGGUUCCCAGAAAUUAGAUUAUUUAGAAUUCCAUCACAUUAAGGGAGGAUUCCUCUCCGAUUCUGUCUCCCUGCCCCUUCCUCUUUCUAGCCCUCUCUCUGCCUGCCCCCCCUGGACCCCUCCCGGCCGAUGAAAGAUUUUCUGGCGGUGUCAAGGAAAUGUGACCUGGUUCUGUAAUAAAGAGGAGGCUUAUUAGAAUUAAGGCCUAACA